CAUACAUACCUCUGAACUCGCUCUCUCGAUCAAAUUUCUUCUCUGUAUGUUGCAGAGCCCGGCGGGCGGCGCGGAUUGUUCCAGAGAGAUCCGGUAGAGAUUCCGUCGUGGGCAGGCGCACGACGUACCGGCCAUCGGCGUUGCGUGUGUGGUACUGACGAUAGUGCUCCUCGCACUCCCGCUCGACCUUGGUGAAGAGCUGAGACGGCUGUCGAACCUCUUCCUGCUCCCAAAAGCGACGUACCAAACAGACCCUGGCGGAUGAUUAAUCCGUAGACGUCGGCGCCCAGCAGAAGGUCUACUGGAUCAGCGGAAUGGAAUUCUGGAUCGGCUAGCUCCAGGUCCCUGAGAUGUGUCCAGGAUUGCAGGCUUCGGCGGCAUCCUCCGGAGAAUAGAGUCAGCUUCGGCAAAAUCAAGGCGGAGACGGAGUUGGACGUCUCACCGUUGAGCGCUCGAAAGGUCUGGCUGCCUGGUUCCUGCCGAUGAUGGAUUGAAAGAGGUCUCGGAAGGACGGCCAGUCUUCGUACUUCCCGGCGAAGGUCGGUGGCUGGAUUUUUGGCAGCGCUGUCCGAGGAGCGGAGGUCGUUGGCGCGGCCGAGGUAGAGCUGGCUGCCUGCAGCCGCCGCUGGAGAGCGCUCUUUAGGUCGAGCAUGAGGCCCUUAUUCUGCAGCUUCUCGAGGUUUUGAAGCCGGGCCUCUACUGCGCCGAGGGUGAUGUUGGCCUCGCCGAGCUUCCGCAAGUUGUCGUACGCGCGCGAGAUCUUGCCGUAUAGUACCGUGGCGGUGGCAAUGAUCGCCUUUGUUUCUGCCAUCUCUCACACUGUCUCUCUUUUCCAGGGGCACUGGUCACCGACACUUAAUCACGAUCGCUUCCGUGGCACCGGAUUAACAGGAGGUUCCGGAUAAGUAUCCGGCUCGAAGGACCAAAAAAUGUGCACAACGGAUAGCGGGAAAGGGCGGUCGGAAGCGAGACGAUAGAU